ACCCUGUUCCUCUGUGUUAGAGGUCUCCUCCUCUCACUACCCUGUUCCUCUGUGUUAGAGAGGUCUCCUCCUCUCACUACCCUGUUCCUCUGUGUUAGAGAGGUCUCCUCCUCUCACUGCCCUGUUCCUCUGUGUUAGAGAGGUCUCCUCCUCUCACUACCCUGUUCCUCUGUGUUAGAGGUCUCCUCCUCUCACUACCCUGUUCCUCUGUGUUAGAGAGGUCUCCUCCUCUCACUACCCUGUUCCUCUGUGUUAGAGAGGUCUCCUCCUCUCACUACCCUGUUCCUCUGUGUUAGAGAGGUCUCCUCCUCUCACUACCCUGUUCCUCUGUGUUAGAGGUCUCCUCCUCUCACUACCCUGUUCCUCUGUGUUAGAGAGGUCUCCUCCUCUCACUACCCUGUUCCUCUGUGUUAGAGAGGUCUCCUCCUCUCACUGCCCUGUUCCUCUGUGUUAGAGAGGUCUCCUCCUCUCACUACCCUGUUCCUCUGUGUUAGAGAGGUCUCCUCCUCUCACUGCCCUGUUCCUCUGUGUUAGAGAGGUCUCCUCCUCUCACUGCCCUGUUCCUCUGUGUUAGAGAGGUCUCCUCCUCUCACUACCCUGUUCCUCUGUGUUAGAGAGGUCUCCUCCUCUCACUACCCUGUUCCUCUGUGUUAGAGAGGUCUCCUCCUCUCACUACCCUGUUCCUCUGUGUUAGAGAGGUCUCCUCCUCUCACUACCCUGUUCCUCUGUG